rnacentral:tRNA from 1 species
UGAGUUGUGGCUUAGUGGUAGAGUGUUCACCUAGCAUAUGUAAGGUGCUGGGUUCAAUCCUCAGCACCAUAG